rnacentral:rRNA from 1 species
GACGAACGCUGGCGGCGUGCUUAACACAUGCAAGUCGAACGGUGAAGGGGCCUGCUUUUGUGGGUCCUGGAUGAGUGGCGAACGGGUGAGUAACACGUGAGUAACCUGCCCCCUUCUUCUGGAUAACCGCAUGAAAGUGUGGCUAAUACGGGAUAUUCUGGGUCUGUCGCAUGGUGGGCCUGGGAAAGAUUGCGCCUUUUUUGGUGUUUUUGGUGGGGGAUGGGCUCGCGGCCUAUCAGCUUGUUGGUGGGGUGAUGGCCUACCAAGGCGGUGACGGGUAGCCGGCCUGAGAGGGUGGACGGUCACACUGGGACUGAGACACGGCCCAGACUCCUACGGGAGGCAGCAGUGGGGAAUAUUGCACAAUGGGCGCAAGCCCUGAUGCAGCGACGCCCGCGUGAGGGAUGGAGGGCCCUUUCGGGGUUGUGAAACCCUCUUUUCGCCAAGUGAAAGCCAGGCCCUGCCUUCGGUUGUGGGUGGGUGAACCGAAG